rnacentral:rRNA from 1 species
AUUGAACGCUGGCGGCGUGCCUAACACAUGCAAGUCGAGCGGUAACAGGUGUAGCAAUACAUGCUGACGAGCGGCGAACGGGUGAGUAAUGCUUCGGAAUCUACCCAAUGGUGGGGAAUAACCAGCCGAAAGGUUGGCUAAUACCGCAUACGUCCUACGGGAGAAAGCAGGGGAUCGUAAGACCUUGCGCCAAUGGAUGAGCCGAAGUCGGAUUAGCUAGUUGGAGGGUAACGGCCUACCAAGGCGACGAUCCGUAGCUGGUCUGAGAGGACGACCAGCCACACUGGGACUGAGACACGGCCCAGACUCCUACGGGAGGCAGCAGUGGGGAAUAUUGGACAAUGGGGGAAACCCUGAUCCAGCGACGCCGCGUGUGUGAAGAAGGCCUGCGGGUUGUAAA